rnacentral:rRNA from 1 species
AACGAACGCUGGCGGCAUGCCUAACACAUGCAAGUCGAACGAGAUCUUCGGGUCUAGCGGCGCACGGGUGCGUAACGCGUGGGAAUCUGCCCUUUGGUUCGGAAUAACAGUUGGAAACGACUGCUAAUACCGGAUGAUGACGAAAGUCCAAAGAUCUAUCGCCAGAGGAUGAGCCCGCGUAGGAUUAGCUAGUUGGUGUGGCAAAGGCGCACCAAGGCGACGAUCCUUAGCUGGUCUGAGAGGAUGAUCAGCCACACUGGGACUGAGACACUGCCCAGACUCCUACGGGAGGCAGCAGUGGGGAAUAUUGGACAAUGGGCGAAAGCCUGAUCCAGCAAUGCCGCGUGAGUGAUGAAGGCCUUAGGGUUGUAAAGCUCUUUUACCCGGGAUGAUAAUGACAGUACCGGGAGAAUAAGCUCCGGCUAACUCCGUGCCAGCCGCCGCCGUAAGAC